ACCAGACUCCUACGGGAGGCAGCAGUGGGGGAUAUUGCACAAUGGGGGAAACCCUGAUGCAGCGACGCCGCGUGGGUGAAGGAGCACUUCGGUGCGUAAAGCCCUAUCGGCAGGGAAGAAAAGGGGGAAACCCCAGACGGUACCUGACUAAGAAGCCCCGGCUAACUACGUGCCAGCAGCCGCGGUAAUACGUAGGGGGCGAGCGUUAUCCGGAUUCACUGGGCGUAAAGGGAGCGCAGGCGGCACGGCAAGUCCGGUGUGAAAGCCCGGGGCCCAACCCCGGGACUGCACUGGAAACUGCCGGGCUGGAGUGUCGGAGGGGCAGGCGGAAUUCCUAGUGUAGCGGUGAAAUGCGUAGAUAUUAGGAGGAACACCGGUGGCGAAGGCGGCCUGCUGGACGACGACUGACGCUGAGGCUCGAAAGCGUGGGGAGCAAACAGGAUUAGAUACCCCUGUAAG
rnacentral:rRNA from 1 species